AGCGUUGUCCGGAUUUCUUGGGCGUAAAGAGCUCGUAGGCGGUUCGGUAAGUCAGUGGUGAAAGCCGGUUGCUCAACAAUUGAGUUGCCAUUGAUACUGUCGGACUUGAGAGAAGUGGAGGUUCAUGGAAUGGAUGGUGUAGCGGUGAAAUGCAUAGAUAUCAUCCAGAACGUCGAUUGCGCAGGCAGUGGGCUGUACUUUUUCUGACACUGAGGCACGAAAGCGUGGGGAUCAAACAGG
rnacentral:rRNA from 1 species